rnacentral:rRNA from 1 species
ACCGUGCAAAGGUAGCGUAAUCACUUGUCUUUUAAAUAAAGACUAGUAUGAAAGGCACCACGAGGAUUAAACUGUCUCCUCUCUCCAAUCAGUGAACCUAAUCUCCCCGUGAAAAAGCGGGAAUUUUUAUAUAAGACGAGAAGACCCUAUGGAGCUUAAAACAUCAUAACACUGCACCCCGUAUUACUAAUCCAGAUAUUAACCCCCCCCCACGGCACACUGAUUAUAUGUUUUCGGUUGGGGUGACCGCGGAGGAAAACCCAUCCCCCGCGAUGACAGGGAAGACCCCAGACAAUAAGUCACAACUUUAUGUAUCAACAAAUUGACAUUAUUGACCCAAUAUAUUGAUUAACGAACCAAGUUACCCUAGGGAUAACAGCGCAAUCCACUUUGAGAGCCCCUAUCGACAAGUGGGCUUACGACCUCGAUGUUGGAUCGGGGUACCCCAGUGGUGCAGCCGCUACUAAAGGUUCGUUUGUUCAACGAUUAAAACCCCACGUGAUCUGAGUUCAGACCGGAGUAAUCCAGGUCAGUUUCUAUCUAUAGCAGCGCUAUUUUUAGUACGAAAGGACCAAAAUAGCCCGGCCAAUACCCCCAGCAAGCCGUCAUUAAUCACUUUAGACCUCCACUCAAAAAACUAUUAACCU